GACAAGGAGGCAGCAGAGCAGCUCGAGGCAGCCCUGGUACAGUGCAACGCCUCCGACGGAGCCUGCUGGGACACAGCCAGGAUCUGCAGACUGCAGCACUCCAGACUGUGCCCAAAGACUGGCUCAGGGUGACCCUUGAAUCUCAGCUGGGCACAGGGCAGGCUGGAGGUGUGCCAUUGUGGGAGAAGCCCCAGGACUGACCAUGCCAGAGCAGGGACACCAGCGAAGACACUAGAGCCACGGGUGACCACGCCAUAGCUGGGAUACCCCGAAACAAAGAGCAGCAGAGGAAAAUCAGCAAGAAGCAGAUAUCAACAGACAAGAGACCCCCAAAGCACAUGGAAUAACAGACAGAAAUCACCAUGCCCAUAACCACAAACCUCCUGUGCCUCACAAGCAGAGCUGAGACAAAGCAGAGUUCUAUGCUCCUAAAGACCUAUGAUUGUCUUAUUUGUGACAACAUGGAAAAUGAAAGAGUUGGACAGCUUUCACCCUUCUUUGUUCAUUCUAAGAUGAGCCAUCUUCUCCAGCCUUCUUCAAAUCACCAAGAUGCAACUCCAAGUUUGUCUGAAAAUCCAGAUGGAAGAUUACAAAAUCUAUGUAUCUUAAAUGAGAUGGAUGAGUAAUGCAGCUUACUUGUCUAAAUCACUCAGCAAUCCAAAUUACAUGCCACAUGGUACUCCUUAAGCUAGUCAAGCAGAGUUUCCUUUUUUUUUAAAUUAAUUCAGUCUAAAUGCCUUUAAUAACUUCAGAGCUGAAAAGAAAGAGCACUGCUGUAAACAGUAUUUUGGUUUCAUCUGACCUUUGCAUUAUGAGAUCAGCUUUUAAGAUACAUUAUCUGGAAAUAUGAUGGUCCUUAAUUUUUCCUCAAACACACCUGGCUAAUGGAUCUUGUCUAUAUUGAUAUUGAGGGAUAUUGAGCUAGAAAAACAUGCUCAGGAAAUUCAAAGGGGAUUUUUGGUGAAAGUAAGGCAAUACAUUGUAUCUGCAUUGCAUCUAUAGUGCCUUGGAAAGCAUAUUUGUGGUGCUUCCCAAUGAACAUAGCAGAAUAAAUGUUUGCCUGCUUUGCGCAAUAUUUUCAUAAAGAAAUAAAACACUCAUUUUAAAAUCUAACAUUGCAUCUACUUACAAUUUCUAAAGCUAUGUUCUUCAAUUUGUUAGCAGAAAAGUACUGAUCCUGUAAGCUUCAGCAACAUCAAGUAACCUCUGUAGCUCCCUACAGAUUUAAUCAAUAAAUAAGCUCUCUUCUGUUGUUGAGCAUUUUCAUCAUCAAAUGACUUUGUAUAAUGCUGUGAAAGUGACCAACUAUACUGUGUCACUGAAGAGAAAAGGAAAUUUGCUGUCUCAAAGCAUAGGGAAAGGAGAAUAAUGGGUUAUAAUUAUUUCCCUGGAGCUUCAUCAGUGGGCUUGUGGAUAACCUCAGAGGUAAGAGCUGUUGCCUCCUGGGAUCUGAUCUCAGAAGCACUCAACAGGGACGUUUGGACUCUGCAACAGGAAGCAACUUGACACCAGACAUGCCCCAAAAAGAGGACUGAAGCAGCAAUUUCAGCAAAUGGGACUGCCAGAUUUCCUGUAUGUAGGGAGAAGACGGGAGUGCUUUGUAAUGUGCCAGAAUGUGUGUGCUUGCUCUAAUAGUAACUUCUAGGGAGCUUCUUGAAUCUCUAGCAAGAAGACAGCAGCUUGGAAAAAUCCUCUUGGGAGUUUUGUUCUGUGUUGAGCCUUGGCUUCAGUCACCUUAUUGACCUCUGAUUGAAUGACUCUAAAAGACAACAAGAGUUAUGAGAUGGGGAGAUCAGGAUUUAUCUUGCAGCAUUUUACAACAAUUCUGUUAGAACUAACUGAAGGAGACCUUUUUGCAUCUCACUAUUUGAGUUUCUUUUUAAGGCUGUCAUCAUAAAUUAGGCUUUUAGUUGAUCUAGAGAGGCGGUCAGUUUUAUUCCGUCUUUCUCAACAUAAAAAAAUAAUUUCCAGUAAACUUUCUGUGUUGUUUUUUCAGACUAAUAUUUUAUAUUUAUCUCCCUGUCCUGUGUUGGGACUAUUGCAACUUGUAUUCUCCCCUCAUCGUGCUCCCAGUGGAGAACAAGAGAAGUAAGAAUGUAAAGCAGCUGUUCUGUACAGGUACCCUGUCCCCUGAAACAGCCCUUGUUUACUCUGUGCUGCCCCUAGAACCAGAUGUAAUGCACCUGGUGUGAAUGAAAUUAAUCAUAGAUCAAUUCACUGAAUGUUUUUACUUCAGCUGAGAGAUGUUUUCUGGCUCUUUAAAGGGGGGCAGAGUACACCCU